GCUGCUGACGCCGCUGCCCUUCCCCCUGCCCGUAUCAGCCGUAACGUUCCGCUGGGCGCUAGUGACCGGGGCUGGGAACAUAAGCGGCAGGCUGCAGAAUGACGUCCAUGUUUCAGUCAACUUCAUUCCAUCCUCCCGUGGGACAGAGCAGAGAAAUGGCUGCAGAGGAGUCAGCCCAGGGUUUCCAGUUUCCCAAUCUGAUGUGAUCUCCCACCUGGAACAAGGGGAAGAGUCAU